rnacentral:ncRNA from 24 species
UUCUUCUCAAACAGUAUUAGGUUUUUGGUGAGAGCCAAAGCUAAAAGGGAAUCGUGUGUAAAUCACGAGCUGUCGCGCAACUGUAAGUAACUAAAGAGUUUUUACCCUAUGUUGCCCACUGUCCAUAAAAAGGAUGGGAAGGGCGGUAAAAAUGUUAUAAGUCAGGAUACCACCUCAUACUACUUUGACAAUG